rnacentral:tRNA from 1 species
CGUGGUGUAGAGCAGUGGUCAGCUCGUCAGGCUCAUAAUCUGAAGGUCGCGGGUUCGAGUCCCGCCACCGCAA